rnacentral:rRNA from 2 species
CCAAGGAGUCUAACAUGUGCGCGAGUCGUCGGGUCUUGAACAGGCCCGCAGGCGAAAUGAAAGUGAAGGGCGACCCAGUCGUCGCCUGCGUUGGGAUCCCCGGGCGUCUGAGUCCGGGGCGCACCAACGGCCCGUCCCGUCCGCGUCGUCGGUGGGACGGAGCGAGAGCGUACACGUUGGGACCCGAAAGAUGGUGAACUAUGCCUGGGCAGGACGAGGCCAGAGGAAACUCUGGUGGAGGUCCGCAGCGAUUCUGACGUGCAAAUCGAUCGUCAGACCUGGGUAUAGGGGCGAAAGACUAAUCGAACCGUCUAGUAGCUGGUUCCCUCCGAAGUUUCCCUCAGGAUAGCUGGCGCUCGAGGGAGUCAGUCUCAUCCGGUAAAGCGAAUGAUUAGAGGCCUUGGGGCCGAAACGACCUCAACCUAUUCUCAAACUUUCAAUGGGUGAGAAGUCCGGUUUACAUGACUGAAGCCCGGACAAUUCUCAGGAUGCGAGUGCCCAGUGGGCCACUUUU